rnacentral:lncRNA from 1 species
CUGCCAUGAAGGCCUUGAAGGCGGUCUUGUCAUCUGCCUCAGCGCAGCGAGAAUACUCAUAGCUGAAACGACCAGCAUACUCUCGUAGUGACUCGUCUGGCUUCUGGCGAAUAGUGUACAAGUCAUCUGUAGAAUGCAAACGAUCGGUCUGGAAGAUGUAUUGAGAGACAAAUAGUUUCCUCAGUUCCUCAAAUGAGUCUACUGUCUCAGGUGGAAGACGGCAAUACCAGUUUAGAGCUCUGUCAGAGAUGGUGGAGGGGAAGAGAAGACAUCGCUCUUCGUCGGUAUGCAUCUGAUAUGCCAUGGUGGACUCAAAGAGGUUAAGGUGUUCAAUUGGGUCCUCCCUUCCAGUAUAGAGUUGUAAACCAAGCUUUUGUUUUGUCUUCGCUUGAAGUGGGGUGUCAAGGAUCCUCCUUGU